CGUGCAGGCGGUGUCUUAAGUCGGAUGUGAAAUCUCCCGGCUCAACUGGGAGGGUGCAUUCGAUACUGGGGCACUUGAGGGCAGGAGAGGGAAGCAGAAUUCCCGGUGUAGCGGUGGAAUGCGCAGAUAUCGGGAGGAAUACCAGUGGCGAAGGCGGCUUCCUGGCCUGUUCCUGACGCUGAGACGCGAAAGCUAGGGUAGCGAACG
rnacentral:rRNA from 1 species